rnacentral:rRNA from 1 species
UACGUAGGGUGCGAGCGUUAAUCGGAAUUACUGGGCGUAAAGCGUGCGCAGGCGGUAAUGUAAGACGGAUGUGAAAUCCCCGGGCUUAACCUGGGACCUGCAUUUGUGACUGCAUUGCUGGAGUGUGGCAGAGGGGGGGGUAGAAUUCCACGUGUAGCAGUGAAAUGCGUAGAGAUGUGGGAGGAACACCGGAUGGCGAAGGCAGCCCCCCUGGGUCA